AGAGUUUGAUUCUGGCUCAGGAUGAACGCUGGCGGCGUGCUUAACACAUGCAAGUCGAACGGAGAUUACUUUUAGCUUGCUAAGUUGUAAUCUUAGUGGCGGACGGGUGAGUAACGCGUGGGUAACCUGCCUUAUCCAGGGGGAUAACAGUUAGAAAUGACUGCUAAUACCGCAUAAGCGCACAGUUUCGCAUGAAACAGUGUGAAAAGAUUUAUCGGGAUAAGAUGGACCCGCGUCUGAUUAGCUAGUUGGUGAGGUAACGGCCCACCAAGGCGACGAUCAGUAGCCGGCCUGAGAGGGUGAACGGCCACAUUGGGACUGAGACACGGCCCAAACUCCUACGGGAGGCAGCAGUGGGGAAUAUUGCACAAUGGGGGAAACCCUGAUGCAAGCGACGCCGCGUGAGUGAAGAAGUAUUUCGGUAUGUAAAGCUCUAUCAGCAGGGAAGAAAAUGACGGUACCUGACUAAGAAGCCCCGGCUAACUACGUGCCAGCCGCAGC
rnacentral:rRNA from 1 species